AAAGGCAUUGGCGCGCUACACAUGCAGUCGAGCGGUAGCACGGGGGAGCUUGCUCCCUGGGUGACGAGCGGCGGACGGGUGAGUAAUGUCUGGGAAACUGCCUGAUGGAGGGGGAUAACUACUGGAACGGUAGCUAAUACCGCAUAACGUCGCAAGACCAAAGAGGGGGACCUUCGGGCCUCUUGCCAUCAGAUGUGCCCAGAUGGGAUUAGCUAGUAGGUGGGGUAAUGGCUCACCUAGGCGACGAUCCCUAGUGGUCUGAGAGGAUGACCAGCCACACUGGAACUGAGACACGGUCCAGACUCCUACGGGAGGCAGCAGUGGGGAAUAUUGCACAAUGGGCGCAAGCCUGAUGCAGCCAUGCCGCGUGUGUGAAGAAGGCUUCGGGUUGUAAAGCACUUUCAGCGAGGAGGAAGGUGGUGAGCUUAAUACGUUCAUCAAUUGACGUUACUCGCAGAAGAAGCACCGGCUAACUCCGUGCCAGCAGCCGCGGUAAUACGGAGGGUGCAGCGUUAAUCGGAAUUACUGGGCGUAAAGCGCACGCAGGCGGUUUGUUAAGUCAGAUGUGAAAUCCCCGGGCUCAACCUGGGAACUGCAUUUGAAACUGGCAAGCUAGAGUCUCGUAGAGGGGGGUAAAUUCCAGGUGUAGCGGUGAAAUGCGUAGAGAUCUGGAGGAAUACCGGUGGCGAAGGCGGCCCCCUGGACGAAGACUGACCUCAGGUGCGAAAGCGUGGGGAGCAAACAGGAUUAGAUACCCUGGUAUCCACGCUGUAAACGAUGUCGAUUUGGGAGGUUGUGCCCUUGAGGCGUGGCUUCCGGAGCUAACGCGUUAAAUCGACCGCCUGGGGGAGUACGGCCGCAAGGUUAAAACUCAAAUGAAAUUGACGGGGCCCGCACAAGCGGUGGAACCAUGGUGGUUUAAUUCGAUGCAACGCGAAGAACCUUACCUACUCUUGACAUCCAGAGAACUUUCCAGAAGAUUGGAUUGGGUGCCUUCCGG
rnacentral:rRNA from 1 species